rnacentral:miRNA from 1 species
GACAAGUGUGUGUGUGUGUGUGUGUGUGUGUGUACGUACGUGUACACACAUACACAUAUACAUACACACAUUUCAU